GUAAAGAUCUUCUUCAGCAGAAGAGUGACAGAGGAGCAGCUUAGGUACCCCCCUCCCAUGACAGCUAUGGAAAGGCUCCCUUUAGGACUGUUCUCUGCAUCUCAGGCAUGGUUAUCUGAGGACAUAACCAGCAAGCAGUCAAGAUGAACCUGAAGACAAACUGAAUAGAACAAGAGAAGGAAAACAAAUAUUUCAGCGAGCUCAGUGUUAGCAGCUACUGAACUGCGAGCCACAAGGCAGCAGCAGCACUCUUAUGGUGCCUUGAUCUCAAGCUACAGCAGUCACCAUUAGCAACCGCUGCAGUCAACGCUGCACAUCACCACUGACAGAGAACGGGGAAUAUUUGCUGUCUUAAAGCAGCUAAACACAAUAGAAUACAUAGCCCUGAAUAGAAUGUAUUGCUGUUAUGUUUCAAUCAUUUUAAGGUGGGUGUUCUGACUGAUAGACCUUCUAGAAAAUAGGGCAAAUGCUUUGUACGUGCUGCAAGAGAGGGAUUUCAGCUCUCCUCCAGUCGCAGGAGGGCCAUACCCCUAACCCUGGUUGCUCUCAGCCCAGUUGACCUCAGACUUGUUACUUGGCUGCUCCUGCUCUUCUGGGAAUGAAUCCAGCAUUCUGGAUAGCAAACUCAGCGCGCAGUUUGACAUCGAUGGGCAGGAGUUUCCCACUGCUUAAGAGCCUGGAAAAUAUUACUUGUGGAGCUUUCCAUCCCUUUUCCCAGAUCUAGCAGUGUGAUAAGCAGUCAGACUUCUGGGUGUUUACAGUGACUAAAAAAAUCCAUUGACAAACUUCAUUUACACACAUCCACUUUUUAUUUCUCUUCUAUUUUGAAGAUACGAUGAAGAUGUUAAAAUACAGAGAAAAGAAUAAAUUUAAAACAUAAAUUAUAUAAAUAUAUUAAUG
rnacentral:lncRNA from 7 species